rnacentral:rRNA from 1 species
GACGAACGCUGGCGGCGUGCCUAAUACAUGCAAGUAGAACGCUGAAGGAGGAGCUUGCUUCUCUGGGUGAGUUGCGAACGGGUGAGUAACGCGUAGGUAACCUGCCUGGUAGCGGGGGAUAACUAUUGGAAACGAUAGCUAAUACCGCAUAAGGGUAGAUGUUGCAUGACAUUUGCUUAAAAGGUGCAAUUGCAUCACUACCAGAUGGACCUGCGUUGUAUUAGCUAGUUGGUGGGGUAACGGCUUACCAAGGCGACGAUACAUAGCCGACCUGAGAGGGUGAUCGGCCACACUGGGACUGAGACACGGCCCAGACUCCUACGGGAGGCAGCAGUAGGGAAUCUUCGGCAAUGGACGGAAGUCUGACCGAGCAACGCCGCGUGAGUGAAGAAGGUUUUCGGAUCGUAAAGCUCUGUUGUAAGAGAAGAACGAGUGUGAGAGUGGAAAGUUCACACUGUGACGGUAUCUUACCAGAGAGGGACGGCUAACUACGUG